rnacentral:sRNA from 1 species
GCUGGGUAUGGUGGUGCACACCUGUAAUCCGCAUGACUCAGGAGGCUGAGACAGGAGGAUCACAAGUUUAAAGCUAGCCUCAGCAAUGGCAAGGUACUUAGCAACUCAGUGAGACCCUAUCUCUA